UGGGGUAUCGCCAAGCGGUAAGGCCCUGGGUUUUGAUCUCAGCAUUCCUAGGUUCGAAUCCUAGUACCCCAGCCA
rnacentral:tRNA from 1 species